rnacentral:rRNA from 1 species
UACGUAGGGUGCGAGCGUUAAUCGGAAUUACUGGGCGUAAAGCGUGCGCAGGCGGUUUUGUAAGCCAGAUGUGAAAUCCCCGGGCUUAACCUGGGAAUGGCAUUUGGGACUGCAAGGCUGGAGUGCGGCAGAGGAGACUGGAAUUCCUGGUGUAGCAGUGAAAUGCGUAGAUAUCAGGAGGAACACCGGCGGCGAAGGCGGCCAACUGGACCACUACUGACGCUGAGACACGAAAGCGUGGGGAGCAAACAGG